CAGCAGCCACGGGAAAACAGAGGGUGCAAGCGUUAAUCGGAAUUACUGGGCGUAAAGCGCGCGUAGGUGGUUUGUUAAGUUGGAUGUGAAAUCCCCGGGCUCAACCUGGGAACUGCAUCCAAAACUGGCAAGCUAGAGUAUGGUAGAGGGUGGUGGAAUUUCCUGUGUAGCGGUGAAAUGCGUAGAUAUAGGAAGGAACACCAGUGGCGAAGGCGACCACCUGGACUGAUACUGACACUGAGGUGCGAAAGCGUGGGGAGCAAACAGGAUUAGAUACCCCUGUAGUCCCUGUCUCUUAUAC
rnacentral:rRNA from 1 species